rnacentral:rRNA from 1 species
UACGUAGGGGGCAAGCGUUGUCCGGAUUUAUUGGGCGUAAAGAGCGUGUAGGCGGUUCGGUAGGUCCGUUGUGAAAACUCGAGGCUCAACCUCGAGACGCCGAUGGAAACCAUCGAACUAGAGUCCGGAAGAGGAGAGUGGGAUUCCCGGUGUAGAGGUGAAAUUCGUAGAUAUCGGGAGGAACACCAGUGGCGAAGGCGGGUCUCUGGACAGUUCCUGACGCUGAGGCACGAAGGUCAGGGGAGCAAACGGG